rnacentral:rRNA from 1 species
GACGUAGGGCGCGAGCGUUGUCCGGAUUUAUUGGGCGUAAAGAGCUCGUAGGCGGCUUGUCGCGUCGAAUGUGAAAUUUUAGGGCUCAACCCUGACAUUGCAUUCGAUACGGGCAGGCUUGAGUUCGGUAGGGGAGACUGGAAUUCCUGGUGUAGCGGUGAAAUGCGCAGAUAUCAGGAGGAACACCAAUGGCGAAGGCAGCACUCUGGGACGGUACUGACGCUGAGACGCGAAAGCGUGGGGAGCAAACAGG